UACGAAGGGGGCUAGCGUUGCUCGGAAUCACUGGGCGUAAAGGGUGCGUAGGCGGGUCUUUAAGUCAGGGGUGAAAUCCUGGAGCUCAACUCCAGAACUGCCUUUGAUACUGAGGAUCUUGAGUUCGGGAGAGGUGAGUGGAACUGCGAGUGUAGAGGUGAAAUUCGUAGAUAUUCGCAAGAACACCAGUGGCGAAGGCGCUCACUGGCCCGGUACUGACGCUGAGGCGCGAAAGCCAGGGGAGCAAAGCGGG
rnacentral:rRNA from 1 species